GCCGGCACAAGUGGCGUAAUAGACUCCAAAAACCGCUCCAAAUUACUCAACGGAGAAACCACAGGAUCAGAGGCCCGCACGGAAAGUGGUUUGGGAGAAUCCUCAACAGCAGUAUGGUACUCAGGUUCCCUAUCUAACAGUUUUUCCGCUUUUUCCUUGACCAAAGGCAAUUGACUCGCAGUGACAUCGCUCUGAGCUCUGCGCAGUUGAUCAUUAUGUUGAUUCUGGUGUACCCUGCGAGCCUUCGCCGGUUGGUAAAACCGAUCCUCCCCGCGACCUCGCGUAGUCAACUGCAAUCCAGCCCCCAACAUUUCUACACCUAAAUCNNNNNNNNAAAAAAAAAAAAAGAAGAAAAUGGGGCACCUAAAUCCUACAAUUAAUUUCUUAUACUCCGGUUUAAUCCUCUGAACAGCGAGAUUCCAAGUCAACGAAACGAAAUGCAAGUGGCUAGUGGAUUGGAAAUUCAAAACAAGGACGAACUUAUCACCAAACGGUAUUGAACGAUUUCUGUAACGACAGGGUAGUGAAAAAGGAGAAUCGGAUCGUAGGAGACGAUUGAAGAGAGUGGUGAUAUUAAAACCCUAAAACGGACACGAUGGAUCUAAAUAGUAAAUAAAAAGUCAGAGAGAUUAGAAGGAAAACAAAGCGAUGAC
rnacentral:misc_RNA from 1 species